CCCCGACAUCCGGAGAGACCCGUCGCUUGCGGCGGGUCCGGCAACCUGGGGGAGCAUCCCGAGGUGCCAUCUUCGCCGAGGCGUGCUCGGCGGUAGAGAUGUGGCGGAGGGCCUCGCGGCCCUGCGCAACGAAGUGCUCCGCG
rnacentral:ncRNA from 1 species